AUGCAUAAAAUGUGGGAGAAACCAUUAUCAUGAAGGUGGUUUUCCCAAGGUGAGGAAUAUCCAUUGCCCUUUGGAUAUGUUGACCCUGUGAUUUUUCCCAACUGUAGGAAAUUCAACUACAUAAUUUGUAACUGGGGACUGUUUUAACACUCUCUCCUA